GAUGAACGCUGGCGGCGUGCCUAAUACAUGCAAGUCGAGCGAACAGACGAGGAGCUUGCUCCUCUGACGUUAGCGGCGGACGGGGGAGUAACACGUGGAUAACCUACCUAUAAGACUGGGAUAACUUCGGGAAAACGGAGCUAAUACCGGAUAAUAUAUUGAACCGCAUGGUUCAAUAGUGAAAGACGGUUUUGCUGUCACUUAUAGAUGGAUCCGCGCCGCAUUAGCUAGUUGGUAAGGUAACGGCUUACCAAGGCAACGAUGCGUAGCCGACCUGAGAGGGUGAUCGGCCACACUGGAACUGAGACACGGUCCAGACUCCUACGGGAGGCAGCAGUAGGGAAUCUUCCGCAAUGGGCGAAAGCCUGACGGAGCAACGCCGCGUGAGUGAUGAAGGUCUUCGGAUCGUAAAACUCUGUUAUUAGGGAAGAACAAAUGUGUAAGUAACUAUGCACGUCUUGACGGUACCUAAUCAGAAAGCCACGGCUAACUACGUG
rnacentral:rRNA from 1 species